rnacentral:rRNA from 1 species
CCUACGGGAGGCAGCAGUGAGGAAUAUUGGUCAAUGGACGAGAGUCUGAACCAGCCAAGUAGCGUGAAGGAUGACUGCCCUAUGGGUUGUAAACUUCUUUUAUCAAGGAAUAAAACGCGGCACGUGUGCCUUUUUGCAUGUACUUUGUGAAUAAGGAUCGGCUAACUCCGUGCCAGGAGCCGCGGUAAUACGGAGGAUCCGGGCUGUAUCCGGAUUUAUUGGGUUUAAAGGGAGCGUAGAUGGGGUGUUAAGGCAGUUGUGAAAGUUUGCGGCUCAACCGUAAAAUUGCAAUUGAUACUGGCAGUCUUGAGUACACUUGAGGUAGGCGGAAUGCGUGGUGUAGCGGUGAAAUGCUUAGAUAUCACGAAGAACCCCGAUUGCGAAGGCAGCUUACUAAAGUGUGACUGACAUUGAUGCUCGAAAGUGUGGGGAUCAAACAGGAUUAGAUACCCGUGUAGUC